GUGAAUUUGAAUAUGAUUUUUUUUUUUAGAAAUAAAAUUCACCGCAAAAUAAAGAUUGUGAUUCUAUUGCUCACUGCCUCCUUCCAAGUGAUCUGCUGUCCGCUAGUAGUUUAUGAAUCUGCCAUAUUUUUCAUGAUGUUCAGUGUGACAGAUUUUGCCUCUGACAAACGUAAGAGUAUAUUUUUCCUCCAUGAUUGCUGCAAAUCUUUUAGUUUUAGUUGAUUUCAUUUUCAGUUGCUCUUGCGGCGCAGUAAUUUUCAUUCGCGAUUCAUAUAUCAAGCUCUUGCUCCAGCUUAUAUGUCGCAUUGAAAGUAUGAAAAACGUAUAUAGUUCGAUAUCCCCGACUUUAGGCUCAGCGAUUCUUCAACAUUUAUGUUUACCAUGAAUAACCUAGUUUCUAUUACUAAUUUUUGUAAGAUAUAUGCGCUUUAGCUUUGGUAGUGUUAGAAGAUGAGGAAGAUGAAGGGGGGAAUGGGUAAAGUUACAUAGACCCGAGGAUUGAGAAUCAGAAAUCAUUUGAAAAGGUAGGGCCUGCUGUGAGUUUAAGUGAGGAAAAUAAAGGAAAUUGGGGUUAUAAUUGGAUAUGUGAACCUCUGUAUAAGUGCUAUGGAUGAUAGAGAAUAGGGAUACUUGCUACAUGAGAUGAUUUUGGUUUGGGGGGUUUUGCAGAACAACUCCUGAUGUUAGAAGUAGCUGCUAUAAGAUGAUAUUGGUUGGUAUGGUUCAGAAUUUGAACGCCAUAGGAAAUUACAGUUCCCUAUUUAAGUAUCAUAAGAUGAAAACUUACCAAUUUGAAGUGCUUUGUUGCAGUUAGUAGCUCAUAUAUGUGCCAAGGGAAAUGUUGUUCGGACUCUUCAAAAAUGUCAAGGGGUGCUUGUCAGAUUCACCAAAAGUAGUGUAUCUUUCCAUUCAGUAUAUUGAUUAUUUUAUUUCUUAGUAACUUUCUAUUAUCUUGUAGGUAUCUCCAUAUAAGGAAUUUAAGCACAACUGAGCUUGAGGAAUAUCAGUAGUUUCCUUCAAAUUCUUAUUCAUAUUAGCUGUGACCGGGAAAGUUCUGCAGAGGUUCUUUGGAAAUCUGGAAGAAUUUUAUUUCCCUGAUUUGGUUGAAGCUUGCCUAAGGUAAUUGAAAAGAUCCAUAAAUCAUAAAGUAUUCCAUUUUUUAUAAGGGAAUUAGUAAGCACGACUAUGAAAAGGUUUUAUUGCAUUACAUUGUUUUUAUAAUUGUAACUCAAAUUUAUUUAUCACAUCAAGAUGAAUUUUGAAGUUAGCCUUCCUACAAAUUUGGAUUAUGCUGUGGAAUCAUUGGAGAAAACAAUGUUAUUGCCAUGUGUGGAAUUGAUUUUCUGGCCUUUUAUGUUCCCGUAAAAUCCUUAAGUGCUACCAUUUAGUUCUGUCAAGUUUACUUUAGGUGCUAAAGAUGCCUUUUCCCUCAAAAUUGAAACUGUAUUAUCCUUAAGCUUAUUAUUCAUUUAGGAUUUUCAUCUGCUAUAGUGAGGAAUGACAUUUAGACAAAGCCUGUCUUUAAUUUCAUCUAAUGUUGGAUUCAUAUUUCUAGACCACCUUUGCAUCAAAAUGAGGAAACUGAGCAUUAAUAAUGCAAUUCGGAAUGUGCAUUCCUUUAUAGAGUUUUUCGGUGUAGAUGAGAGAAACUAAUAAAAGAAAUGAGCUUAAGCCGUGUCACUGAAGAGAAUGGGAUGGAGAAUUAUUCUUAUUACUUCGGUCUAAGUCAAACACUUGUUCAAAAAUUUUCAGCAUUUAGAUAAGUUCUGAUUAAGGACUAUAACAGAGGUCCUACCUCAUGCUCACCACUAGAAUUUCAACAGUUUUCAUUUGUUUCUUUUCUCACACUUUUGCUUGGAGAGGAGGGAGAGAGAGUUGACAAAGGAUCUCCUUUGCAAGCUGUUUUGUGCAUGUGUUUUUUGAACAAAGAUGGCACUUUACAAGGUUUUACAAAAUUCACACAAAACAAAAUAUUGCUUUGAUACGUUUAACAAAGUGUGAUCAUCUAAACUCAAACAUGAAAAACUUGCUUCUUUUCUGCUGAGUAAAUUGAUUAGUUUCCUAACUCUUGCUGUCCAUAAGCACCUUACUGGAAAAAAACAUGAUGCUUUUGGAAUCAUAUUACUGGAAAACAGACAUUGAAACACUUCAUACGCUAAAAAUUCAAAUUCAUCAAUGAGUUAGCUGUAACCAUUUAGAACAGUUAAAACUUCAUGUCAUGCCUUUGCUUUGAUCUUGCCCAAUCAAAGUUAAUCGUCCAAUUUAGGAUAGAAGAUGCAAAAAAAAUAAAAUUGAGAUAGCUUUACAACUAAAACUCUGCAAUAAGAGAGGUAAGAUAGCAAUGGAAUGAAACGGACAUAGCAGAGGACCGACAUGUUGGAAGAGGGAUGGGGGAGGCGUCUAGCGUGUGAAUAUUGUCAAGGAAAGUAAAAAAAGGAAAAAAAAUUCCUCCAAUUUUAAGGGUGUUGAUAAUCUGUCGAAAUUUAAGAAGUUCCCUCCUUUCAUUUUCUUUUUAAAUUCUAAUGUCAAGCUUCUUUCAUUUUGUUCUCAUGUAUACUUGUCUGUUAUUGGGGAGCCAUGUGUUGUCUUUUUUGGUACAAUAAAUAGCUGCUUUGGCUGGGUGCUUCACUUUAUAGUCUGCUUCCAUGAUCCUUUUUCUGUUUCGGAGCAUAAGUUUCAAAUUGAUGGUCAAAUCAAAGAAAUUAAUGUGACUGCAUGCAGUAUUGAGAUUCUGUGCUUAAAUGAGAUAGAGGAUACAGCACCAAGAAGAAGGAAUCUUUCAAGAAGCAGGAGGGAGCUUUUCAAUAGUUCAUCUUCAAAAAAUUGUUUAUGGUUCAAGUUCAUAACGACUCAGGUAACUUGCAAACUGAACAAUACUAAGGAGUAAGGACAAAUCUCUAUUCUGGAAAGUUUUCAUCAAUGGCACAAGAUUAUAUCACAUCAUUGUCAUUCUUGCGUAAUUGUGGUCGCUUUAUAUGAACUAUGUUUCUCUGAAUUUGUACCAAAAUGAUGUAUAUAUAAAUGAUUUCUUAUGUGUGUCAAAUAAUUCAUAAUAAUAUUGCUCUCACUCUCUUCAGGUGUCUCUUCCUAUAAAAUAUGUGAAAGAAUGGAAACUGCUAAAAGUGAAAGAAAAAUAGAGAAGGAUAGAUCAAAGGAAUCUGGAAAAGAAUAUUUCACAGAAAUUGACUGGUAUCUGUUUUCUCUGGAGAGAUUCAGUGCUUUUUG
rnacentral:lncRNA from 1 species